GAUUUCUGGUAGUUUUGUUCGGUCCAGCCCGCUGCCGCAAGGCGGUGUGUGUUGGUUUUCCGCGCUGCCAUCCUUCCAGGUCGGCACCGGUUGCAUGCUUCGCAAGAGGUGUGUACGGUUGCUCUGGAUCUUUUACUUUGAAAAAAUUAGAGUGUUUAAAGCAGGCUUGUGCUGUGAAUACAUUAGCAUGGAAUAAUAAUUUAGGACUUUUGUCCAUUUGUUGGUUUUCCAGGGCGAAAGUAAUGAUUGAUAGGGACAGUUGGGGGUGCUAGUAUUUCGUCAACAGAGGUGAAAUUCUUGGACCGACGAAAGACUAACUUAUGCGAAAGCAUU
rnacentral:rRNA from 1 species